rnacentral:rRNA from 1 species
ACAGAGGGUGCAAACGUUGCUCGGAAUUACUGGGCGUAAAGCGCGUGUAGGCGGGCCGAUAAGUCAGAUGUGAAAUCCCUGAGCUCAACUCAGGAACUGCAUUUGAAACUGCCGGUCUAGAGUGGUGGAGAGGGAAGCGGAAUUCCUGGUGUAGAGGUGAAAUUCGUAGAUAUCAGGAGGAACACCGGUGGCGAAGGCGACUUCCUGGACACCAACUGACGCUGAGACGCGAAAGCGUGGGGAGCAAACAGGA